rnacentral:rRNA from 1 species
GGCCCGAACCCACGCACGUUGAAAAGUGCGGGGAUGAGGUGUGGGUAGCGGAGAAAUUCCAAUCGAACCUGGAGAUAGCUGGUUCUCCCCGAAAUAGCUUUAGGGCUAGCCUUAAGUGUAAGAGUCUUGGAGGUAGAGCACUGAUUGGACUAGGGGUCCUCAUCGGAUUACCGAAUUCAGUCAAACUCCGAAUGCCAAUGACUUAUCCUUAGGAGUCAGACUGCGAGUGAUAAGAUCCGUAGUCAAAAGGGAAACAGCCCAGACCGCCAGCUAAGGUCCCAAAGUGUGUAUUAAGUGGAAAAGGAUGUGGAGUUGCUUAGACAACUAGGAUGUUGGCUUAGAAGCAGCCACCAUUUAAAGAGUGCGUAAUAGCUCACUAGUCGAGUGACUCUGCGCCGAAAAUGUACCGGGGCUAAAUACACCACCGAAGCUGCGGAUUGAUACCGAUGGUAUCAGUGGUAGGGGAGCGUUCUAAGGACAGUGAAGUCAGACCGGAAGGACUGGUGGAGUGCUUAGAAGUGAGAAUGCCGGUAUGAGUAGCGAAAGACGGGUGAGAAUCCCGUCCACCGAAUGCCUAAGGUUUCCUGAGGAAGGCUCGUCCGCUCAGGGUUAGUCAGGACCUAAGCCGAGGCCGACAGGCGUAGGCGAUGGACAACAGGUUGAUAUUCCUGUACCACCUCUUUAUCGUUUGAGCAAUGGAGGGACGCAGAAGGAUAGAAGAAGCGUGCGAUUGGUUGUGCACGUCCAAGCAGUUAGGCUGAUAAGUAGGCAAAUCCGCUUAUCGUAAAGGCUGAGCUGUGAUGGGGAAGCUCCUUAUGGAGCGAAGUCUUUGAUUCCCCGCUGCCAAGAAAAGCUUCUAGCGAGAUAAAAGGUGCCUGUACCGCAAACCGACACAGGUAGGCGAGGAGAGAAUCCUAAGGUGUGCGAGAGAACUCUGGUUAAGGAACUCGGCAAAAUGACCCCGUAACUUCGGGAGAAGGGGUGCUUUCUUAACGGAAAGCCGCAGUGAAUAGGCCCAAGCGACUGUUUAGCAA